rnacentral:lncRNA from 1 species
UUUUUCAAAUGUUUUUCUCUAUUUCUCCUACUUGUAUUCAAACACGUAUACAGAUACACUUAUGUGCGCAUACAUAUACAUCUUCAUAAUUAAGUUAUUGGGCAACAGAAGCGUUAGCAUUAGGCUAAUAAUGCGUGCUAAAAACAUUAGCAAUGAUGGAGGAACAGAACUACAGGCGGCCAGUCCAGCAAUGAGAAACUUGGAUGUAAAUAUGUGGAAAUGAACAUCAGCCUUUAUUUUGUCUGGACACCACUGAGAACACAAAUUCAUAUGAUGGUUGAGAGUUUCUAAGGUCUUGAAGCAGCAUUUCCUCCUGUUCGAAGCUUCCCCGGACAAGCUUUCUCUCUGGGCUAGUAGAAGGCCGGUUUAGCUCCGUCCAAAGAGCAAGUCCGAGGGAGAAGCUUCGAACCGUGCGGACAGCGGGGCUUCCGAAGGAGGCUGUGGUCCCAAACUCCGGACUGCGUAAGGCAGAAAUACUGCUACGUAGUCCCGAGAAGCUGUGCACAAUCAUCAGGGGAGCACAAACGUCACAAAGCCAUCUCCCCUGCCACUAACACAAAGCUGCUCCUAGACAUGACUAAUGAGUUAUAUCGCUAGAGGAGGCAUCACGUGAUUCCUCGUGGGAGGAGAGCACCGCCAUCUUGGUGAGGUCAAGUUACUGCUGCAGUGAAUGCAUGUGAACACAUUUUUUGUUUCCAAAAGGCCAGUUCAUUGUGCGAGUUUCAACUGCCAAAAUCGGAGAAAUGAGUCCACGAAGGAGGAAGGCAUAACAUUUCACAGGUUUCCAAUGGAUUCAGAUUUAAGGAAAAAGUGGGCCUUAGCUAUCAAAAGAGCUAACCCAGAUGGAUCACUGUGGUUACCAACUAGUAAAACAGUCUGGCUGUUUAAAACAUUUUGUGGAACCAGAUUUUGAUAAGAGGCCAGACUGUUUGCUUGAAACCCGGCACCAUACAAUCUGUGUUCCCCAAUUGAUCACUCACAUGAAUCAGUAAAUCUGUUGUUUUUCUUUGUUUUAUAUUUUUUUAUUUUUUAGGUUAAAUCUAUUGUUAACUUUUGGACUUUUUGUUGACUUAUUUAUUUAUUUUGGAUUAUUAUUUAUUGACUUAUUAUUGAUUUAUUUGUAUUAUUUAUUGGCUUAUUAUUUACUUAUUGCUAUUAUUUAUUAUUUGUAUUGACUUACUAUUGAUUUAUUAUUAUCUAUUAUUAUUAUUGUUGUUGUUAUCAUUAACUUAUUGU